GAGCUUGGCGGUGUUUUAGACCUCUCAGGGGAACCUGUCUCAUAAUCGACAAUCCACGUUAAACCUAACCUUUGAUAGCAAUUCAGCCUGUAUACCGUUGUCGUAAGGUAACUUCUUAAAAUACAGUAGUUAGCUUGAAAAUUUUAUUAAUUAAAACGUCAAAUCAAGGUGCAGCUAAUAAAAAGGUGAAGAUGGGUUACAAUUACAUAUUUGUAAAUACGGAUAAACAUUUGAAAGAAUGCCUUAAAGGAGGACUUGAAAGUAAUUUUAAUUAUAUAAACAAAAUGAAUGAGGCUCUGAAACGUGCACACAUCGCCCGUCGCUCUCGUUGAAAAAUGAGAUAAGUCGUAACAUAGUAGGGGUAAUGGAAAUUGUUCCUAGGC
rnacentral:rRNA from 1 species